rnacentral:lncRNA from 1 species
UUUUCACACCGUACAUUCCAGCCUCCAUCGUCGUUCCAUACAUUCCAAACAAUCAGAACCCUAAUCUUCUAGCCUCCAUCGUCGUUCUUCACAUUUUGUGCAGAUCGAAGAGUUUCACAAUCACGAAACCCUAGCCCUCAUCAUCUUCCCUGUUUUGAUUCAAAUGUAAACCCUAUAUCGCUCAUCCUCCUCUGCUGAUUCUCUCAUUCAUCGUCCUCAUACUCUCUAUCAUCUAAAGUUCCUAUUAUUGUGUCCCAGUUAUAAAGAUCCGGUUUCAAGCUACGAAGCUUUUCAUUAAUAUUCAGUCUCAAAUCUGGAGGCUUAUUUGAAAGAUUGAAUGCUGGUAUCUGAAUAGAUCUUCAUGUGGCUGAAGAAGAUCGUUUGAUUUGUAGAUGAAGAAGAUCAGUAAAAUGAGGCUUGCUGGAUACAUUGAAACUAUGAGCGAGUGAAGGUUAGUUUGGAUGCAAUGUUCGGGCUGCGGAUAAAAAGAAUUUGUAUGGGUGCACAAAGGAAGGAUGAGGCCGAGAGCGAAGCUAUUUCGGGGAUCGGGAGUUGAAUGGUUCGAGAACCAAGAAUCGUGGUUCAAACCACCAGUGAUAUUGAUGUUCUUAGUGGGUUUAGAAAUUAGGGGUUUAGACAUUCUUUAGAAGAAAUUUUGUAAUUUUAAAUUAGCCAUAUUUUGGUGGGUUUAAAAAAUUAAGGUUUCGACCGUUUUUUUAGAAGAAGUUUGGUAAUUUGUUUUGCUGUAUUGUAUAUGUCUACGUUUACUAUUUGAUUGCCAUAAUUUCCUUUAAAUUUUCUACUUAGGGGGUGUUAGGGAUUUGCUCAUGUUAUGUUCUUAGACUUUCUAAACUAAGAAGUUUUCAAGAGUGUUUGGGUUUGAUUAUUUGCCUUUGUCCGAAUUGCUGAGUGUUAUGUUGAGCCAAGGGUCUCACUGGUAGCAACCUCUCUAUUCCUACGGGGUAGAGGUAAGGUUGUCUACAUAUUAGUCUUGCUAUUGGUGGGAUUUACUGAGUAUGAUGAUGAUGAUCUGUUGGUUUAGACUUUUAAGCUAAUGAACCAUUAAAGUUUUGGAAGUGGUCAGUUAUUUGAGUUGGCAUACUUUUAGUUUGAUUUGGAAUAAAUGCCUACAUCAAGUGAGUGAUGAUGUUUUAAGUGUAUGAUUUUUGUUCUAUGUUGGUUUUAGAAUAACUUGCUUUAUGUUCAUUAGAAUUUGCAAGUGGAGAAUUAUAAUGAUAUAUCCAGUGAUGUGAUGAUGUUAAAGGUAUCAUUUUUUGUGUAUGUUUGCUUUACAACCGGCUCCUUUAUGUUCCUUUGAUUUUAGUACAUAGCAGAAUCACUUAUAGAUUUGACUUUAAAAUUGACCAACUAUUGGAGGUGGAUUUCUCAAAAUUUGACACUGCCUUUAUUGUAUAUACCAAAGAUGAUGUCUUUAAAUGUGUGAUUGAGAUUUUCGGAUCUAGAGCAUAGGUUGUUUCGUUUGUUUUGUUGUAUAUAAUGACAAUUAAGAAAAAAAAAAUCAAGAUUUUUUUUACCCGGAUGGCAAUUUUUGUUGGUUUUAGGAAUUCUAAUAAUUUAUAGGAACGCAAUUUUGACGCAUUUAUGGAUAAAAUAGGACAACUGUAAUCUAAAACUUUACAAAUAUAAUGCAUAAUUCUUUCUAGAAAUAUUAUUUACCGACUUAUAAGUAAUAUACUUGACAUCGUCUAAUCCGCGUAGUAUACGGAUAGUUAAACUCGAAAGUUUUAACGACUUGUGAUUUUUUUGGAUUGAUUUUUUUCAGUUCUUUAUAAUUUAUUCUUUUCAUCAGUAAUGGAACAAACGGUUCCUUCCUUUCAAAGUUUACGUGAACGCAAAAUCAGGCAGCCUCUUUGAGAAAUGUCUGUAUGUUUUAUCAUACAUUGAAGGUUACAGAAUCAGGCCACCACUUUGACAAAUGUUGGCACUUCUCGACCACUAUAUCAGGAUCUACUGCCUCCAAAGUUGCACUGUGGAUAGCAGACCGGCGGCCACGGGUCAAUAGCGGUGGCAACCGUUUUAGAGGAGAUAUUUGGUAAUUUAGGAUGUAAUUUUCACUUUCAGUUUGAUGUAUUUGAAGUUUCCUUUAAGUUGUUUUGGUUUGAAAUAAAUUUUCGUAAAUUGCAUUGAAUAAUUUAUUGUGUCUUAUAUUGACUACUUUAUUAUGCUAAAGUUGGUAUGCUAAGUAAUUAUACCAACUGU